AACGCGAAGAACCUUACCUGGGCUCGAACGGCUUUGGAACACCCUUGGAAACAGGGGCUUCCCGCAAGGGACCGGAGUCGAGGUGCUGCAUGGCUGUCGUCAGCUCGUGUCGUGAGAUGUUGGGUUAAGUCCCGCAACGAGCGCAACCCUUGUCCUGUGUUGCUAAUUCGCAAGAAUGCACUCUCAGGAGACCGCCAGCGAUAAGUUGGAGGAAGGUGGGGAUGACGUCAAGUCAUCAUGGCCUUUAUGUCCAGGGCUACACACGUGCUACAAUGGGCGGUACAAAGCGCUGCGAACCCGCGAGGGGAAGCUAAUCGCAAAAAACCGCUCUCAGUUCGGAUUGCAGGCUGCAACUCGCCUGCAUGAAGCUGGAAUCGCUAGUAAUGGCGUAUCAGAAUGACGCCGUGAAUACGUUCCCGGGCCUUGUACACACCGUAGUAC
rnacentral:rRNA from 1 species